rnacentral:rRNA from 1 species
CCCCUUUGGUGGAGAAUAACUGUUAGGAAACGACAGCUAAUACUCCAUAAGCUUGGGAACCAGGAAAGAUUUAUCGACCAAAGGAGGAGCCCGCGUCAGAUUAGGUAGUUGGUGGGGUAAAGGCCUACCAGGCCUGUGAUCUGUAGCUGGUCUGAGAGGAUGACCAGCCACACGUGGGACUGAGACGACCGGCCCAGACUCCGUACGGGGAGGCAGCAGGUGGGAAUAGUUGACAGUGGGGGAACCCUGAUCCAGCAAUGCCGCGUGAGUGAAGAAGGCCUUCGGGUUGUAAAGCUCUUUCGCCUGUGAAGAUAAUGACGGUAACAGGAUAAGAAGUCCCGGCUAACUCCGUG